CUGACCAAUCAAUCACCUUUCUCAUUGCUCAGAUCAUGUGAUGCUCCUUCUCAGAUCCUUAGACUGGAUUCUCAUCUUCGUCAUCAUCCACCAGAAAUUCCUUACCUUCAGCACUCUCUGUGGCCUUGCUCCCUCUGUCUUUCUGUCUAAUUAUUUCCCAUUAUAUAUCCACACCCAUGACCUUUGCUUCUCCAGUUUUCUGAUCCAUAGCUCCCUCAAAUUCUUUUUGCUCUCUUAAAUGGGCUCUGCCUCCUAGAACCUAGUGGUUCACUACAUCUUGUGCUUUAAGAACAGAAUCUGUCAGAGGCGUUUCUCUGGAUAAUUUCAGGAUUGCUUACAUCAGGAGGAGAGUGGUGAAAUGCCAGGAAAGUACUCCCUGUUACAAAGGUCACAUACAGCAACUCUUCAAUGGAUCUAGCAGUAAACCAGCAAUAUACAAUUCUCCCAAGAGAGGGAAAUACACGACUAAUGUCAAAAAUUGGCUGAAACAACUAACAACCCAGCAUUUAGAGCCAAAUGUCUCAAAUCCAGGACAGGUUCACCACAUUAUCUAAUCUACCCCUCUAUGGAUCUCCUGGGGGAACAUGUUGCAGUGAAUGGUAGAUUGAGUUAUUACCCCAAAACUGGCUCCUUUUUUCAAAAGAAUGGGCUCCUGAUCCAGAAGAGCACUGCUACCAUCUUCAUCCUGUGUCACAGAAAUUGUCCCAGAAAAAACAAAGUAGAAGCUGUUUCCUCUCUGACCUUUUCGAACCACAACCCGACUCUUGCCAAACCUGAGAUGGCAAAGGAAAGAAGAGAGUCUCCAACUAUUUUUUAAAAUUAAAAUAAAUAAAACAAAUGGUUCACAACA